UCCUCGGGCUCGAGACGGGUCUUGUGGAUCCGGAGCGUGGGGGCCGAGUUGCCUGCAGCCCCUUUGAAUGACAAGCUCAGUUUCCAUCCCCAGAAUGGUCUUCCCAGCCGGGUCUUUUCGGUGCGUAGCGGUGCGUGUGCUUAGUUUGUGUUCGUAGUGCGCGCACAGGAGCGUAUACCGGAGGAGGAGGACGUUGCACUUUGUCGCCGAGCAGCAUCCUUCACUGUCAGAACCUACGAGCGUUGGAACCAGGCGCAACCCAAGUCUUGUGACAGAAACGGAAGGCGUCAAGCAGCUCCUCGGAGUGUUGAUGUUUGGAUUUGCUGUCACAAUUUCUCCGAGGCUGUUUGUUGAUGGUUUAAAUGCUGGCCAUCCAUAUUGCGAAUGGAUUUGGUGUACUUUUAUAAUUCCAGGCACCUACCUCGCUUUACACAAAAAUAGAACUACCCAGGGUUGACUGGGAAUUUCACUGUUGGUUGUGGCUGUAACAGCUCGGUUUAUGAGAGAUCAAAAAAUGUAAGGCAGUCAGAAAAACGGAUUCCCAGGCUGAACUGGUGUUUUAUGGACUAAUUCUUCAUUGAUUACACAGAAAAGCAAUAUAGUUAUGGCAGCUGUCCAGACUUCAAGAAACAGUCACGUGAAGACUAGAGCAUCUGUCAGAAAAAGUUUCAGUGAAGAUGUGUUCCAGUCGGUCAAGUCUUUAUUACAGAGUGAGAAGGAACUAUGCAGUGUAUCAGCGGAGGACUGUUUAAAGCAGGAGGAACAUGCCAAUUUGACUGAGGUCACAUUUCUAGGUUUUAAUGAAGAAACAGAUGCUGCUCACAUACAGGAUUUAGCUGCAGUUUCUUUGGAACUUCCAGAUCUUCUGAAUUCACUGCACUUCUGCAGUCUAAAUGAAAAUGAAAUUAUUUGUAUGAAGGAUAUAAAUAAAUCAUCAGAUGGAAACAAUGGUUCUCCAAGUCAGAGUCACCAUUCUGGAAUGCUCUGUGUCAUGAGAGUGUCACCUACAUUACCAAGGCUCAGAAUUGAUUUUAUCUUUAGCCUGCUAAGUAAAUACGCUACUGGUAUAAGAUAUACCCUGGACACAUACUUGCAUCAGAAACGCCAACUUGAGACUGCUCAGGAAGAUGAUGACGACACCAACCAGUCCGUUUCUUCCAUAGAGGAUGACUUUGUCACUGCUUUUGAGCACUUAGAGGAAGAAGAGCCUUUAAAGCCAUUUACUGAUGGAAUAAACAUUGCUGCACUAAAGAGCCAGUGUGAUGCUGCUUCACAGACUUCUUCUGGUCACCAUCUAGAAACCCAUGAUUUAAGAAUUCUGGUUAGCUCUGGGAGGCAGAAGUCAUUGGCUAAACCUUCAACUUCCUUAAUAAAUAUGCUGGGACGUAAAGAACUACCUUCUGUGAAAACUUCAGUCACAACACUAAUUUCUGAGCCUUGGAUCCAAAAGAGUUUCUAUAGAUCAUCUAAUGCUUCAGAUAAAGGUAGUGAUACACAGAAAAUGUUUUUUUCUUCUUCUCCUGCCUAUUCCUCUGAAUCUGAAUGCUCAAGUCCAAGUCCUGUUAUUUUCUUGGAUGAAGAAGGAUAUCAAAAAAGUUUAAAAGCAAAACUUGAGUUACCUAAAAUUCCCGUGAUGAAAGAUGAUAUAGAGGAUUCAGACUCAGAAGUAAGUGAAUUUUUUGAUAGUUUUGAUCAGUUUGAUGAGUUAGAACAAACUUUAGAGACUUCUUGUCCAUUUCUAAAAGAUCCUGUUGUAGGGAAGCCGUCGCAAAAGAAAGGACACAAACAUGAAAAAUCUUGUUCUGUAACUACUACUAUGAAUCCUCAAAAAUUCAAGUUUGAGCGUCCAGCUCUCCCAGCUAACGUUAGAAAGCCAACUCCUCGUAAACCAGAAUCCCCUUACAGUAAUCUGUGUGAUGCCCCGGAUUCACCUCGCCCAGUGAAGGCGUCAGGGGAGGACAGUGGUUUGUUUAGCCCUAUUCGAUCCUCUGCCUUUAGCCCUCUUGGAGGUUGUACUCCUGCUGAAUGUUUUUGCCAAACAGAUAUUGUUGGAGAUAGGAUUCAUGAAGAUCAUGAUUCUGUUUAUUACACCUAUGAGGAUUAUGCAAAUAGCAUCUCAUGUAAGGUUCUGGGCUCUGUUCUUCAUACCCAACAUACUAAUGCCACAUCAAACAUUAAUAGCAUUAAGAAGGGAGAAAAUAAAACGAUAGCUCUUCACAGUGGAAGCCUUGAUCAAAAAAGUAAAUCUAAAAAUAAAUCCUUGAUGAUUAAAGAUACUAUUCAGAAAUUUGCCUCGGACCUUGUGGAAAAAAGUUUUGGCAGUGCAUUUAAAGACUUACAGAAAGGAGUCUCUUCGUGUACCAAUGCGUUGUGUCACCUGGCUAUCAAAUUGACAUCCUCUGUUUUUCAGAUGGCAUUUAACGAACUGAGAAGGCAGUGUGCGUUUUCACUGAGAGAACGUGCUGUUAGUGGUCUGGCUAAUUUUUUGGUGAGUGAAGCUUUAUCAAAUGCUUUCAGGGAUUUACAGUAUGUAAAAAAGCAGAUAUUCACAAACACAGUCGCUCGGUUUGCUGCGGAUCUUGCUGAAGAGCUUGUUUUUGAAGGCAUCAUGGAGGUGUGUCAGUUUUCCUGUCCCCCAACACCCGCAUCUCCACAGUGUUGGCCGUUUGACUAUGAAGACAAAGCAGUGAAGUCCUACGCUAAAGACCUGUCUGAGUCUGUAUUACAGGAAGCGUUCAUCGAGCUUUCACAAGCCGGCGUGACCUUCUCAACCAAGGCAGCAGUUAGUGUUUCCACAGAUACCAUAAAGGAUGCCAGUGCAGGAAAUUUAGCGCCACCGACACAGACCUCGACGUUUUCCCCUGCUUUUAACAACCAGACCCUUAUGGAGACAAAACCCAUGCAGGAACAUAAAAAGGAAUACACAGUACAGCAGGCCUUGUUUUGUACUUCUGGAAUUGUUACUUCGAUACCAGUACCCUUGGCAGGAAGUGCCCUUCUCCCAUAUCAUAUCUCAUCUAAUAUAUAUCAGUCAAAAUCUUGUCGGUCAUUGGAUGAUAGUAAUUUGAAUGGCGAUUCUAUCCAGACAUGUGUUACCACAAAAAACAAAGAUGAGGAAGUAGCGUGUCUCAGAAAUAUUUGUUUACCCUCAGACCAGAAUCCAGGUAACCAGAAUGAUUUUAAACCAACUAAUGAUGCUGCUGAAGUGCAGAGCUCUUCAAAAUUAACAAGUGAUCCUGUGAUUAUUAACAACUUUUCUGCAGCAGUGGUGCAUACGAUUGUAAAUGAAACUUUAGAGUCAAUAACAUCAUUCAAAUGUACAAAAACAGUUGAUGAACAAACAGAUGGUGUAACUAAAACAGUAAAGGGAGAAACCCUUCCUUUCUGUUCUGAUCAAGCAACAGUGCAACAGAGAGAAGUUAGCAAUAAGGAUAUGUUUGCUGAUCAAUUAUCUAAAUCUAUUAUUAAACAUUCCAUCGAUAAAAGCAAAUCAGCGAUCUCAAAUGUAGAUAAAAAUGCUGAACGCAAGGAAGACUUGCUUGUUCCUGGAGAAGAGUCACAGUUGACCUUGGAAAAGUUCCCCAAAUUUCUCGAUGCUCAAGAUCACUUAACCCCCUGUUCACUUUCAGUAGGAAAGGACUGUGUUCCAGAACGUAAAGGUUCUAUAGCUCAUGGAUUUUCUUUAGAGACACCGCAACCUUGUCCGACAAUUGUGGGUCAGAAACCUGAUUUGAAGGAAGUUGCUAAAGACAAAUCCAUGAAAAAGGAUAAUUUGAAUAAUGCAGCACUUGAGCCCUUGUGUUUUGGUCAAGACCACCCUUGUCCUCAUUCACAUACUUUCUCCUCUACAGUGCUUACGUGUGUAGAUGGUUUGCACGUGGAAGAUAAACAGAAGAUUAGAGACGGCAAUGUGAUACCCGAUACUCCUCCAUCCACUCCUCUAGUACCAUCCCAGGCUAGUUCUGAAUGGGAUAUCAAGAAGUUAACCAAAAAGCUCAAGGGGGAAUUGGCAAAAGAAUUCGCACCUGCUACACCACCCUCUACACCUCACAACUCAUCUGUUGGUAGUUUGUCUGAAAGUGAACAAAAUACUAUAGAAAAAGAAGAGUUCAUGUUGAAACUCAUGCGAUCUCUUUCAGAAGAAGUGGAAAGCAGUGAAGACGAAGAGCAUCCGGAAGUGGAUGUGAAGUCAGAGCACUCAGGGAAGAAAGUUCAGUUUGCGGAAUCGUUAGCUACACACAUCAUUUCUCUGGCCACAGAAAUGGCAGCUUCCCAUUUAGAUAAUAAAGUAACUCAGGAACCCAAGGUUAAAAGCCCUUGCUUAACUGUGAAGAGUCAAAGAAGUGUGUCACCUACUGCUUUAAGUCACUCAGAGGAAAACUUACAAAUAUGCAAUUUUGCAGGUGACCUGGCAGCAGAAGUCAUUACGGAGGCUGAGAAAAUAGCAAAAGUUAGAAGCUGUGUGCUUUUCAGGCAAAGGAGGGAUAGUUGUUACGUGGACGGUGGCCGAGACGAUAGAUCAGAAGAGAAGUUGGAGAUGGAGGCUCUGGCAGACCCCAAAGAAGUAGAUCCGUCCAGUCUUUCAUUACCACCAAGUUCUUGCGUGUCUGGUCUGACGUACAAGUAUCCCAGCUGUGAAAGCGUGACAGACGAAUAUGCAGGUCACAUUAUCCAAGUGCUCAAACAGGAAGGUGGUAAUAGUGAGUUAAUAAUGGAUCAGUAUGCCAAUAGACUUGCCUAUCGAUCUGUUAAGUCGGGAUUACGAGAAGCAGCGAAGGCAGCCCAAAUGAAGUGCAGCUCAAAAAUGUUCUCCGUGCAGAGCUCACAGGUGACAACCAAGAACGACCUCUUAAUAUUCUUAAAUAAAGAACACCACCAAGAAGUGGAUCACGAACGACAAAGUAAAAGAAGUGGAGUUUACCUUUGCAAAAAUAAAACUUGUGAAUGGACGCUGGAUACAUACAAAAAUGACUGCUCUGAACUGUAUAGUUUUUCAGCCUCUCUUGCUCACAGCAUAACAAGAGAUGUUAAAAAAGAGCUGACAGUGUCUACAGUUGGCUUGCCAAAAUCCUUAACAGAUUCUUGCCUUUAUGAAAAGUCUGGACGUGAUGAAGAAACCAGAUCGCCCGUUGAGCCAGAAUUUCCUCAGGCUCUUCAGCCUUCCCCGCAAAAUCACAGAUUUUACCACAGUACAGGCAGCUUAAAUGGGUUUGGUUAUGGAGAGAGUGUGGUUCAAGCUAUAGAACAGUAUGCGAAAAAAGUAGUGGAUGAUACCUUAGAGCUCAGUUUAGGAUCUGCAGUUUUCCAUACGUCUGAGUCCACAAAAGCAGCUGAUAGGGUCACUUAUGCAGAAAAGUUGUCACCUCUUAUAAGUCAACCCUGCAGAUAUUGUGACCGUAAAGAACUGCAUGACUGCACUGGAAAUUCAUCUCAACAUGUUUCCAGGCAGGAUUCACUUGCUACUAGUCAGCCAGCUUCUAAAUCAAAACUUAGCAACAUCUAUCAGGAAUCUAGAAUUUUUCAUCUUGAUGUCCCACAAAUUCAUGUUGGUCUUGAUAAGAAGACAGUGCUUGCUGAGAAGAUAGUUGCUGAAGCUAUUGAAAAAGCAGAGAGGGAACUGAGCAAUACCAGUCUGGUGGCUGAUAGCGGGAUUGGACAGGAUGGCGUUAGCUUUGCUGAAAGCCUUACCACAGAAAUAAUGACAUCGGCGAUGACCAAUGUUGGACGUGCUGUUAGCAGUCCAAAAGAAAUAGAAGACUUUCAGUCAACUGAGUCUCUGGGCAGCCAGCAGCUGAACCUCAGUAUUGGUGAUGACAGCACUGGCAGCUGGUCCAAUUUAAGUUUUGAAGAUGAACACCAGGAUGAGAGCAGCAGUUUUCAUCACCUAAGUGAAAGUAAUGGUAACAGCAGUAGCUGGAGCAGUCUUGGUUUAGAAGGAGAUUUGUAUGAGGACAAUUUAUCCUUUCCAACAACAGACAGUGAUGGGCCAGAUGAUCAAGAUGAAGAUCAUGAGGAUGGAGAAGGUAAUUGACAAUUUGUUUUUCAAAGUGUUUGCGUGUUUUUUGUAUAAGGUUCUAGAAGAGUCUUUAACCUGUCCAUUUUUGUCAGUCUCCAGUUUCAUUAUAAAUCGGGGUAUUUACAUUACAAAUCAGGAUAUUCUUGUACUAAUGUAUCCAAUGUCAGGUCCUUUGUUAAACAAUUUGUACUAUUUGAUUGCUAAACUAAUGAAGUGCCUGCCCAUUGGUGUAAAGGCUGACAUGCUUUAAAAGAAUUAUUUAAUUAUUGGAGAGGGAAAUUUAUGAUAAUCUCUCUGUAUAAUUAUCUUUUUAAAAACACAAAACCCUUACAUUAUAAGAUAUAAUUUAUUAUAAUUAUGGCAUAUGCCCUAGUUUUUUCCUCCCAAACUAGUAGCUUCUAGAAUUAGUGUUUUAAUGUUGAUCUUUCAUAAAUCAAUAAAUAAAAAUUAAAAGAUAUUUUAAAAUAAAUUCUUCCCUCUCUCAAUUCUAUUCCUCAACUCACACAUAUACAUAUUUGAAGAAAAUACUCAAUUCUUUCUUUGAUGAGUAUAGUUCUAAAUAUGUAAAUACUGGACACCAUUGGUCACAGAGUUCUGGACCAUCAUUUAUAAUGCUUAAUUCAAAUAUAUUAGAAUAUCUGAGCGAACAUAGAAACUUUCUGUGCCGAAGCUGAAUUUUCAUUGUGAUUAGAUGGCUAUUGAUUUAUUUUCCAAAAAUCUUUAUUUUUUUUAAUUAUGAAAAUACCAACAAUCUCUAGUGACACCUAAAAAUAUUCAUACUGUUUGAGAUACUGUUUUUGAACUAGUGAUUUUUUUCAUCCUUUCUUUGCAAGUAGACAAACUGAGAAAAUUCCCCAAAUGAAUUUCUUGAAAUGUACUUUCAUAACAUCUGAGUUUCCAAUCAGUUUUGUCACCAAUUAUGCCUUCCUUAUUUAGGGAGGUCAUGUACUGGUUUUUGAGAUAAAAUCCUCCAAACUGAGGUGAUUAUUUUUUAGUGCCAAUGCUUCUGCUAAAUAGACAUUCUUCAUAUCGGGCUUCUAGAAGUAAGUUUUUGUCAUCAGAUAUGAAGUAGGAGUAGGACAAUACUUUUAGAGUCACAGAUAGGCUGGGUAAUAAUUUGCUUUAUUUUUGUUGACUUAAAGAGUGUUGACUUUGUCUAGAAAAAUUGUAUCCUUUUUCCCAAGUCAUGCCUGUGAACAAAGUUAUUCCAAAGGCAGUACAUGGUGUAAAUGCGUGUGGUGAGUAUUUUCUCUAAUGAACUAGUCAUUACUUAACUGACUUUACUGAGGAAUGAAUAAGAGAAAAGAAGAUACACGUGAAUAUAAAUAAUGAAAUUCAUUUUCAAAGUUUACUUUUGGCACUAGCAAGCUCUUUAGGGUUUCUUUUGUGAGUAGAUAGAAAUCAGAAGAAUUACAUGUGGAUAUAUGCCAUGCCAUCACUCACCUUUGAGAUCCCAGUCUUCUCAUCAUGUAGAAAAUUGUGGCCAACUUUCAAUUUUGUUCAAUUAGGAAUUGGUAAAUUAGGAGAUGGAUUGAAACGAAUUUAUAGAAAGAUUCAAAAUUAUGGAAAUCCUACUUUUCAUUGUUGUUUAUAGUUGCAGUAGGUCAGCUCCUUCCCUUUUCGCUGGAGUUUAGUAACCUCUCCAAAGAGCCAGGAGCUCUGAGCUGAGAAAGCCAGUAAUACAGAGAAGUCUUGAGGUGACUUAGCUUCCGACCCCAUGACCUCUGCAGGAUUCACUGAAUGGCCCUGAGGCCACGCCUGGUAUCAUAGUGCACUAGACCCGUUUUUGAUUGAGAGUCAGUGGGGGGAGAGGAGGAAAAAGGCAGUACGUUUAUCUUAAAGCGUGACACGGAUCCGUUUUUUUAAAUGAAAAAAUUAGGAACCAACACAUCCUAAAAAUGAUCAGUGGUAGUCUAGAAUGCCCGCCAGUGCUCUCAAGAAGAAUCAGGGCCAUCCACCACCAAAUUCCAUUGCUGGUACAAACUGGCGUGAUGUCUUCCAGCGUGCCCACAGUGCAUCUCUUGUGUGGGAGGGCCCUUGUCUCAGCUCGGCUUUUUGCUCAGCCAUCGUUAAGCAGGAGUGGGUAAACACUUGGUAUGGGUCCACAGGUCAUUAGUUUUAUCAUCAACAGCGAUUCAUCCUUCCUUAUGUUGAAAACGUACUUUUCAUUAAAAGAAACUUGAGAGCAGUAUUUUAUUUAUCAAGGAGUGUGCCAGAAAAUUCCCCAGUCUGGCGCUUGGGAUAUUAAGUGGCUGCAUAUGACAUUUUUUCCCCCAUUCUGCCUAAAGAAUGAAGUGAUUACACAGAGCAUGGAGCCAGACUUCCUGUGUUCACAUCCUGGUUCAGCCACCUCCCCACUGUCAUACUCUGGAUCUCUCUUCGCCUCACAUCUCUCACGUAGUUCCCACCUCAUAGGGUGGGUGUGAGGAUUCCAGGAGUUUGUAUAGCAGAAGAGCUUAGAACGUUACUUAUGAUGUAAUACGUGUGAAACAAGGGCUUGCUGCUUCCUUCUCUCAGUUCAAGCAGCUUUCUUAAAGUCCAUUUAAUAGGUUUAUUUAUUUGAGAUUGUAUUUUUGUGUUUCACUUCUAUUUUGGUGGUUAUUAUAGCUUUAUAGUUUGGUUUCUCUUUCUUUACCUGUGUAUUGUAUUUUGACACAAAUUAUGGCAUUUAUAAAGGAUCUGAAUUCAGUGCCUCAAAGUAGAGUUUUACAUCUGUGCUCUCAGAAGACGAUCAGUGUUACUCCUUUGUUGUAGAAUUGUUUUACCCUUUCAAAUAAAUGUUUUAGUUGAUGUCAACAUAGGAGUAAGAAAGGACGGAUUUUUUUCCAGCAUUGGCUGGAAUCUUAAGAAAUGGAAAGUACCUGUCCUGGGAAACCAGAGGUGUUGAGAAUCGAAUAGAUGAGUUUUACUUUAUAUUGCUUAAAUGUCAAUAUUAGGUUUGGAGCAAGACCGAAAGAUUCUGCUCAUUACAAAUAUCGACAUGGAGCCGUGCACAGUAGACCCCCAGCUAAGGAUUAUCCUUCAGUGGCUCGUCGCUUCGGAGGCUGAAGUGGCAGAACUUUGUCUUCAUGACUCUGCGAAGAAGGAGUUUAUACAACUUUCAAAACGACUACAAGGAAAGGGAUGGAAGGUGGGGGACCUCCUGCAGGCUGUGCUGCGGUACUAUGACAUGCGGGAGAAGAUGCCUGGGGAGGAGAGGUGCAAGUCACUGUUUGACUGGCUCUUGGAAAACGCAUAGAACAAACUCGCAGCCGGUCCAUUUUAUUGUUUGGGGAGAGGAAGUAACAGAUAAGGAUGCAUAGGGUAAACUGUUAACACUUACCGUGAACUGGGAGGGAAGUAGAUAGAGCUUUUUAAAAGUGCAUUCCGUCAUCCCACGUUGUAUAUAUAUAGUUCAUACUUUUGUAAUCUCUGUCAAAUAUGAUCUUCAUUUAUUCUUCUAGACACGUGCAUAGUGUGUUAAGAUCCUAAGAACACUGAUUUGACGGAAGGUCUGACCAUGACGUUUUCAGGGACACUGACUGACAGCAUUCUUUUUGCAUCCAAGUUAGUGCUGCUAUGAACCGCACCCAGCGGCCAAGGACGUUGCAGACAAAUGCUAUCCUGUUAAGAACUAAUCUGACAAAAUAGCUUUGAGGCUAAUGGUUUUUCUUCCCCCAAUAGAAUUUUUUUCUUAUUUUUAAAAGUCAUUUUUAUUUUCAUAGCUCAGCUAUUGGUAGCUUUUUGAAUCCCCCCAAACUAUUUAAUUUCUUAGAAACGUUAGUAUUUUAGGUUUCUCUAAAUACCGUAAAUGAUAGUUUCCCCAGCCUUUCAUUAAAUGACAUUAUUUGCUAAUGUUGCCAAUCCAUCUGGCAUGAAAGUGUGUGUGUGUGUGUGUGUGUGUGUGUGUGUGUGUGUGUGUGUGUAUGUGGAGGAAUACUUUUGACUUGCCUAGUGGGUUUGUGCCCUUUUUUAUUUUACUGUUUUCUUGGUUAGAAACCCACUGUUGACAUUUAAAAGGUGCUUUAAAAUAAAAUGUCUAUAAAGAUUGUGCAGUAAGAAUUUUUAUUUCUUGGUUUUUUAACUAUUUUGCGUCCCUAAUUUAUCCUAUAAAUGAAAAUAAAGGUGCAAAACAUGUUAAAACUUUAAAAAUUAAUGUUAAUAUGGAAAUGCAUUUAGAGAAGCCCAAUAAUGAUUUUCAUUGUUGGAUUUUUGAAAAACAAACCACUCUCUUCUUAGCAAGGAUGAGCUUUUUCUAGAAAAAGAAGGGAUGCACAGGCUCCCUCUCCCCGAUAAAAUAGUAUCUGCACUGUUUUGUAAAGUUGACUGACAUGAUUUUUCUGGGCUCUGUGUUUUUUUACUUCCUUGUCUUUAGAAACUGCAAGUUGACUCGAAUACGCUUGUGUCUUGGUAUUGUACGUGAGGGUAUGCGCGUGUGAGUUUUUGGUUCUUCCAUUAGUGGAUUUUAUAAUCUAGAGUAAAUCACCUUUUGUUGGGGGCUUUGGUUUUACUCCAUUACAUUUUUUUUUUUUCCUGCCAUUGCAUUUUCUUUUUCCCUGAGCACUGACUGUUCUGGAAGCUGCACAAAGUGUAGAAGACAUAGCACCCACCAAGGGGCAAAGAAUAAGGGCACUUACAUUAAUUUGAAUUAAUAAUUAUGGUAGAGAAAUGUAUUUUGUAAUGAGAGAGUAAAAUUUGCUUUUUAAGAAAAAUACCAAAAGCCACUUAAAUAUUUUGAGAUUACAUUGUAAGCUUUGGUUUUUCUCAACUUAAGAUACAGACAUGGAGUGAGCCUUAAAAAUAAAUUUGCCUAAAGUUUCUUCAAGUAUUUUUUAAGGUGGAGAAAUGCAGGAAAUGUAUAUAACCAGAAUUGUUUCUGUCUUUUGCUUCUCAGAACUUGAGAUUUAGCAGCACUGGACUGGGUUUAUACAUGCUGGCACCUGGGUUGUUGAUGAUAACACGGAUUUACUGCUUAUUAAGCUUGGAUUGAAUUUUUACAAGUAUAUAACUAUCAAGUUGUGUGUAGUAACUUGGAUAUAUGUAUGGGUGUGAUUAACAGCCAAAUUGUGUUCUGACUUUCUUUUCAGCUAAAGUGAAAAUAUAUUAGUUUCGUUAAAACUUUCUGUGCUUGAAAGUGUUUGUGUUUAUUUCUAUUAUGGUAGAAAUCAUUUUGAAGAUUUUCCUCCUGUCUCUGUUUUCUCUGCAUUUACCUGGAGCUUUGCUGGAUUCAGAGUUCCCUGAUUUAGCCACAAUGUAAGGACAGACCAGUCUUUAGGUGUUAGUUAGCAUGCAUGGUAAGAAUCCUAGUGGAACUCUACCCCUGUAUCAGUUUCACGCAGGGGCAUAGAGAAAAAUAUUAAGUAUUGGCAGAUGUGAAAAGAAGCGUGAGUUAAAGCUCCUUGUAGGGGAGAGAAAUAUCUUUUAAUCAAGUGCAGUCUAAACUCACAUUCUUUAAAGGCACUUUGUGAUUAUUCCAAAGACAUGUUCCGUCUGUUUGGUUGCCCAGUCUUCAGAACAGCUCUGUUUGUUGAGGACUACCCGUCUUAUUUUAUUACAGAUCUCCUUGACUUAUUUGUAUUAUAUAACAUUGUGAUCUUGCCAUUCUGUGCAUUUUGGCUCUUAUGAAAUUACCAUGUCUUAUUCAGAACUGUUAAGUUGUGAUGUGUGUUGAGUUGAAUUCUGUUUAUCAAUUUCAGAACCCUUGAAGGAUCUGUGGGAAGAAAGUGGACGAGGCCUUCUGAUAGGUUUUUUUGUUUUUUAGAACAUUAUUUUAGACCGAAAUGUAGCAAUUCUUUGAUAGUCUUUUCCCAAGCCACGUUUAAACUACAUUUAUAUUUUGGAUGUUAUUAAUGUUGAUUUUGAAAAUACUUCCUGAUUUAUACAAAAUGAAUGAUUCAUUUGUAAAUCACAGAAGAAAAUUAAAAUAUCUAUUGGGAUGGUUGAUAGAAUUUAAUGAAGUAAUAAAACCUCUGAGAGUAUUCACUCAGUGAAUAUACGUGAUAACAUCUUUAUACUUUGAAAAAUGUUCCACUUCCCUUUCAGAUAUUUGACGUGAAUUAAUUCAAUUCAUAAUACUUCCAUUUUGCUUAAAUAAGGGUUUUAUGUUGCUGGCAGGAGAAUUUAAUUACUUAUUAAAUGUACCAUGUAUAAAGUGAAAGAUCAUUUACUCACAUGGCUUUGACAUCAGUGCACAUUUCCCAGUCGCAGACCUUAACCCUGACUCAUCAUCAGAGUCCAGAGUCAGAUGUCUUCUUAGUUAAUUAUUUAGCUAGUAGUAUUCUUUCACAAAUAACUAUCACUUUCCCAUCAGUAUAUUGCUUUAAAUUUUAUAUUUCUCAAAAGAAACUUUCCACAGUUUUAAAAAAAUAUAUUAAUGCAUCCACACUCAGGGUGUAGGGAAAAUGCUUUCCACUGAAAACCCUGCCCACCUGUCACCAGCACAAGACAGUUAGAGCAUCAGUGGGAAUUAUGUGAUUAUACUAAAGCGAAAAGUGAAAUGCAUUUUUGUUUCCAUUAUUAGCAAAAGACCCUGCACACAUUUACUCACUUACUGGAUUCCUGCUCUGAAGACGCAGAUGCAGUGUUGGUCACUCUUGUCACUUUAUUUAUUUAUUAUUGUUUUUUCCAUCCCUGUACAUUCCUUUCACAUGGGUAGGAUUGUAGUUCUAGAAGUUCAUUGUUUUGUUUUUGCUGUAAUGUUUGAAUACUAUUUAAUAUCAGGUUUUAAUAUUGCUGGAUUUGCUAACUUUGGUUACUUGUGCAGUGUUUGAAGUAAUUCACAUUCUUGUUUAAUAUAUAUAUAGUAAAAGCAGCUUUGAGUAAUCGUAGCUGUUUAUUUGUGCAGAAUUACUACAUUAAGAUCUUGUAUAACGGUGACUUUUUUUGGCUUUUCAGUCAUUUAAUGUGUUCAUUUAUCAAAAUAUGAACUUCAGGAUGCACUAUAAUUUUGUUUUUGCAGUGGCUCAAAAUAAACAUUUCAGAAAUUACUUUUGUAAUAAUUUGCAAUUAAUUGUUCUUUUUAUCUUUUAUGAAUUAUUUGUCUGUGAUCUUUCCUCUCCCAACUAAGAAUUCUCCAAUAAACUUAAGAGAUGCCUGGC